rnacentral:lncRNA from 1 species
AUUCAAUCUUGAGGAAUCAGAACAACAAUCAAUGACUGAAUACAAGUGAUUUUUUAUAACAAUUUUUAUCACUCAUUUUUGUGCUUUUAUUUACUUAUAAACACAUCAGCCACCAUUCAAUAUCAAGGGGACAUGCAGAAGAAUUUUAUAAAAGUACAGAUUGUGUGUUGAUAAUACAUAUUCACACACAUAACUGUAAAAGUUACCUUCUCAUAGUAUAAAAUGUUAAUCUGAUCUAAAUGCAUGAAGCUUUCCUCUCUUGCCGCUUAAAGAUUUGCUUUUAAGAAAGUACUUUUCAUUUCCCCUUGCACACACUGACCCCUUGGAUUACUAGGCCACAGCAAUAAGUAGGAAAUUCAUAGGAGCAUCUUCACAGGAAGUGUCAUAUAUGUGCAGUAAAUUUUUUGACAAUAUCUUAAUCUCAAAAUUAUUUGUCAUCAGAAGACAUAUCUUGGGUUAUUGUCAAGUAUUUGACCAGUGCACUUUAUGAUACUUCCAAUCUCAUUUUUUUUCAUGAGCAGAAGAUAGCAAAGAUUUCUAUUAAUUCAAUGCUAUGAAGAUAGCUUCCAAUUUCCUACAGCAUCAGUCCAGUUCUAGAAAAAAACUGUAUAUAAUUAAUAUGAGUCCUUAUUAAGUUAGAAUUUGCUGGGGUAUUAGCCACUGGAUAAACGUAAAAGAUAAGUUCUUCAGAAAGCUACAUCAAUUAUACAGACCUCUAAAAAGCCCUUGAGAGAUUAUCAUGCAGUUCAAUAAAUGCCACUCUGUAAUACAUUUAGCACUUGACAUUUCUCUUUUAAAGUCUAAAACAUUUUGGGGAAAUGAAUCAAACACAAAAAUCAUUUGAACAAAGACAUCAAUCUAUUUCAUAUAUUUAUAGACUCUCCCCUCCUUUUUAUUUCUGGGGUAUUCAUAAUGAGUAAACAUUUUAGAGAUGAUUGACAGUAAUAGAAUGGGAAGAUGAAAAAAAAAAGACAUAGUAUUAGAUGAGUCUGUAAAAAAAUCUGAGGAAUAUCUUGAUUGAUAACUCAGAUAAUCUCCAAUGACAUACUAUAUAAGGCAAUAAUCACUUUCACAAAUGUGUCUCUGUUUUUAGUGUUGAAUAUGACAUUACCUGCAUAUAUAUAUAUAUAUGCAGAAUAUAUAUAUAUUCUGCUGCUUUCCUACCUCAGUAAGUGCUCAUGUUCUACCUCCAGCAUGCCUCUCUGCCUCAUUCCUCAAGAUACAUUAAUUAGGGGUCACCCUGAGUUCUCAAUUGCACAUACUGUGGGCAGCUUUUCAUUUGCCUUCCUGAACUUACUUUACCUGGAAAACAUCAUCACCUUCAUUAAGUCAGCUGGAUAAACUUUUAACUUUUCUAAAAAUACUCAACUACCUCCUGGUCCUGGCUAUGCCUGAUAAAUUAGUGAGUCCCCUACCCACUAAUAGCUAAGUGCUUUCUAUAACUGUAUUACACAUAUCCCGUUGUCUUAGAUUUUUUGUUACAUAUUUGUUUUUCUUACUGACUAUGUAAGUAAUUAUGUUUUAUUCAAUUUGUAUCUGCACUGCCCUGUUUAUUGUCUGCGUAAAUGCUACUGAGCUAAAAUAAAGUGUGUCAGAAGGAAAUAUCUAGUUCUUUAAUGGAUAGAAACUAAUCCUUAAAUUCCCUAGAAAUACAUAUCAGCUCUCCUGAAGCUGGUCUUUCUGCCUACGUGUCCCCUAUUCCUUCCACCCCAAUAGGGCUUCAGGGAAGAGAAAGAAAUCCAGAUGACUGAGGGUUUUGCUCCCUUCUCUUUUUCUCUUGGUCAUGGGACAUAUUGAUAAUUUUCUCAUUGGGAUGUGUGAUCUCUCAUAGAGCUUUAUCACCUGAGUGUCUGACUGAAGUACUGAUUGAUCCUGCCCAUCAGAUCACUUGUAAAAGUUACACAAUGACUCAUUUAGGAACUCACCUAGUACAUCACAGGGCCAUACCUGACUUGCAGAUGAUGUUGUAAAGGUCAGUUGGCAUUUCAUCUGGAUUCCAGCAAAGAAUGACCCACAGUCUUCUGGUUUCCUUAGAAAAAUGUGGUGCUGAUCUUCAUCAUAUGGCAUUCCAAAUUUAUGCAGCCAGUGCCUGUUUCUCAUAAGAAAGAUUGUCUUGACCAAAUGCCCCAUUGCCAUGCAGCCCAGACCUCACGUGCAGAAACUAUUUUUAACCAUACAGGCUAGUUGUGUUUUGUCAACAGGAUGCCACAAAGACCCCAGAUAAAACCAGUCUGAGCAGCCUAGAUCCAAAAUGGUGGGCAGAGUGGACUAAAGGUCACAGACUUCCUUGUCAAGUUUCUUUCUUUGUUUCCAUACUAACCCCUGAAAGCUGAAGGGUACUUGCCCUGAUUUAGCUCUGUGUUUGUUUCAAAAGUACCUGAUGUUUGGCAGAGAUGCUUUACGGCUGUUCUUUGAGAGAUAUGCAGUGGUCAACCACCCCAGGCCAGCUCCAACUUGACCACAGGAUAUCAACUCAGCUGUACAGAUGAGCCCUAGAAUUGUUUUUGCUUCUUUACCAUGUUAAGAUCUCCACACAAAGAGGGGAUUUGUAGUCUGUCAGGCACAAUUAGUGCCGUAUACAAGGGAGCCUAAAAGACUAUACCAGUGCUGUUCUUGGAACUCUCCACCCUUUUUCCCCAGUUUCUGGUGAUGCACCUGCCUCUUACCCCUUAAAAGCUCCCCACUUUCUGCCCUUAGGGAGAAGAUGCUUUUAGAGCGUGAGCCCCCCUUCUCCAUUCUCUGGCCAUUGAGAAAAAUCCUGUCUUGAUGCAUCAGUUUCAUUACUGGCAGUGCAAACUGGAGCAGGAAAGGGCUCCAUGACCAAUCAGGGGCUUCAGUUCAGCCAGGGCACCAAGGGGGUGGGGUGGGGGUGCAAGCCUAAUUCUGUAACACUUCUACAAACCUGAAAACAGCUUUGGAAGUGAUAUUGAAAUUUUAUUUCCUUUGUUUUCAUUUAUCUUUGCUUUUUUGUUAGAGUAUGGAUUGCUUGCUUUAUCAAUUAGAUAAUUUCUUGUUUUACAGUGUGUCCUAAUCCCAUUAAAUCUCAGAAACAACCAUUAUGCUGAGUUAUGACCUUAGUUAUUAUUCAUUAUAUACAUGCAGAGUAAUUCAUCUGUAUUAGACCAAAACACGGAUAUAACAAGUGACUGGAUGUAAGUCAUGUAAUUUGGUGUUGUGAUUAAUUUCAGUAUUAUUUCUGUAGUCAAUAUAAUCAUAAGGCCACAUAACCCCUUCUCAUAGUUGCACCAUUCCUUCCAUCUUACACCUUUCACUAAAACUGUUGUUCUUUAUUGAAUUAUAGCUGAUUUACAAUGUUUCAGGUGUACCACAAAGCAAUUGAGAUGUAUACAUUUUUUCAGAAUUCUUUUUCAUUAUACAUGAUUACAAGAUAUUGAAUAUAGUUCCCUGUGCUCUAUAAUAGGUCUUGUUUUUUGGCUAUUUUAUAUAUGGCAAUAUGUAUAUGCUAAUCACAAACUCUUAAUUUAUCCCUCCCCUCACUGCUUUUCCCUUUGGUAACCAUAAGUAUGUUUUCUAUGUUGGCGAGUCUGUUUCUUUUUUGUAAAUAAGUUCAUUUGGAUCAUUUUUUAGAUUCUACAUAUAAGUGAUAUCAUGAUGUUUGUCUUUCACUGUCUGACUUCACUUAGUAUAAUAAUCUCUAGGUCCAUCCAUGUUGUUGUAAAUGGCAUUAUUUCAUUCAUUUUUUUAUGGCUGAGGAAUAUUCCAUUGUGUAUGUGUACCAUACAUUUACUGAUGGACAUUCAGGUUGCUUCUAUAUCUUGGCUAUUGUGAAUAGUGCUGCAAUGAUCAUUGGACUACAUAUAUCUUUUUGAAUUAUAGUUUUCUUCAGAUACAUGCCCAGGAGUGGGAUAGUUGAAUCAAAUGCUAACUCUACUUUUAGUAUUUCAAGAAGCCUGCAUGCUGUUCUCCGUAGCGGCUGCACCAAUUUACAUUCCCACCAAUAGAGUAGGAGGGUUCUCUUUUCUCCACACUCUCUCCAGCAGUUAUGAUUUGUAGACAUUUUGAUAAUGGCCACUCUGUCUGGUGUGAGGUGGUACCUCAUUGUAGUUUUGACUUGCAUUUCUCUAAUAACUGAUGUUGUCUUAACAAAUUUGCUGAGAGCAAACUGUGAAUGUUGAAGAUGGUGAUUAAUGAUAAGGAAGCAAAAGAAGACCAGGAGGAUGCCUUUUACCAAGUAAAGGCCCGUAUGGCUUCCACCUACUCUCACAGCAACUCAAGAGGUGGCUUCAAUUCUUCUCACAUCCCAGUUCAGGUACAUCAUUUCAGAAAGUCUGUGAAGUACUUUUUUUCUUCUAGGUGAUUUAAAUAAUCUAUAUGUAUUCCAGACCACAUAGUAGCUAGAUGCAGAAUUUGAAUCAAAGUGGGUACAAGUUUUUUUUCUCCAAACUCCAUGUUUCUUGUUACUUCAGAGUUAAAUAAUAAAUUACUGAUGCCAUUUCAAAUGCACUUACUUGCAGCUUUCAUGAUACUUCACCACUAUUUCAGCAUGUCUUAAAAAUGGAGAUGUUCUCCUACAUAACAAAAUUAUAUGCAACGCUAUAGGAAAUUUAACACUAUUAUAAUACAAAUAUCUAACACAUAGUUCAAAUUAAAAUUUCUCUAAUUUCUCAAAUAUUUGUUAUAGCUUUAUCUUCCAAAAUCUAGGAUCCAACAAGAAGCACACUUUGCCUCAAGUUGUUACAUUUCUUUAGUUUCCAUUAAUUCAUUACAGGUCUUUAGUUAUGUUUGAUUUUCACAACACUGCCAUUUGUUAAGAGUGUAGUCCAAUAGCUCCAUUAUAGAAUCCUUAAUUUAAGCAUUCUUAUUUCCUCUGAUGUUUAAUAAAAAAUCAAUUAGCAACAAAAGAGUAAAGGUGAAUCUCAGAGGCUCCCUUUUCCAUUCAAGAAAAUGAAAAAAAUAAAAGUCUGUGUAUGGUGGGAGGUGCAGGAGAGCAGUGAAACACAUUCAAUCUCAUACAACAAGCUUCACAAACAACAGCCAAGGAAGUAUAAAUCCAGGGAAUAGAGUAAGAUCUGGGCUUACUUUACAUCAACUCUUAAAAAGAAAGAAAAGUCAUAACAUCUUGUGAAUUUUUAAUAGUAUCUUCAAAGAAUACAUAUAUAUUAUUUAAAUCACCUAGAAAAAAAAAAGUAUUUCUAAAAACAGCUGAGUUAGCUUCUCUUUUAGAUGUUUGAACACUAGCAGAAGAAAUAAAAUGAAAUCAAUUAGACAACUGGAAGAAAAGGUAAAGUAAGAGAUUGUUGUUCCUUAUCUUUACAUAAUUUUAUUUUUCUAAAUUAGGUGCAUGUAUUACUUUAGAAGAAAGAAAAAAGUGAAAAUUAGAAAAUUUUUCUUCUCUGGACCAUUUUAAAGGACACAAAGGGGUUCUAAUUUAUAACUGAUAUCUACAGUUUUUAUAAAUUCUUUUUUUUUUUUUUUUUUUGCUUUUUAGGGCCACAACUGUGGCACAUGGAAGUUCCAGACUGGGGUGGAAUCAGAGAUAAAGCUGCCAGCCUACACCACAGCCACAGCAAUGCCAUAUCCCC